CACUCCUGCGGGAGGCAGCAGUGGGGAAUUUUGGACAAUGGGCGAAAGCCUGAUCCAGCAAUGCCGCGUGCAGGAUGAAGGCCUUCGGGUUGUAAACUGCUUUUGUACGGAACGAAAAAGCUCCUUCUAAUACAGGGGGCCCAUGACGGUACCGUAAGAAUAAGCACCGGCUAACUACGUGCCAGCAGCCGCGGUAAUACGUAGGGUGCGAGCGUUAAUCGGAAUUACUGGGCGUAAAGCGUGCGCAGGCGGUUAUGUAAGACAGAUGUGAAAUCCCCGGGCUCAACCUGGGAACUGCAUUUGUGACUGCAUGGCUAGAGUACGGUAGAGGGGGAUGGAAUUCCGCGUGUAGCAGUGAAAUGCGUAGAUAUGCGGAGGAACACCGAUGGCGAAGGCAAUCCCCUGGACCUGUACUGACGCUCAUGCACGAAAGCGUGGGGAGCAAACAGGAUUAGAUACCCCAGUAGUCCCAUGA
rnacentral:rRNA from 1 species